GACGAACGCUGGCGGCGUGCUUAACACAUGCAAGUCGAACGGAAAGGCCCUGCGUUUGUGGGGUGCUUGAGUGGCGAACGGGGGAGUAACACGUGAGGAAACUGUCCCUGAAAUUGUGGUAAAAUCAGGAAACAGGGGCUAAUAUCGGAUAGGAGCUCCUGCUGCAUGUGGGUGGUUGGAAAGUUUCGGUGGUUGGGGAUCGACUCGCGGGUUAACAGCUUGUUGGGGGGGUAGUUGCUUACCAAGGUUUUGACGGGUAGCCGGCCUGAGCGGGUGACCGGCCACAUUGGGACUGAGAUACGGCCCCGACUCCUACGGGAGGCAGAAGUGGGAAAUAUUGCACAAGGAGCGGAAGCCUGGUGCAGCAACUCCGCGUGCGGGAUAACGGCCUUAGGAUUGAAGACCGUAUUCGCAUGUAACGAAGCGUAAGUGACGGUAAUGGAUACAGAAGCACCGGCUUACUACGUG
rnacentral:rRNA from 1 species